CGCGUAGGCGGACCUUCAAGUCGGGUGUGAAAACUGGCGGCUUAACCACCAGCCUGCACUCGAUACUGUCGGUCUUGAGUACAGAAGGGGAAAGUGGAAUUCCAGGUGUAGUGGUGAAAUGCGUAGAUAUCUGGAAGAACACCAGUAGCGAAGGCGACUUUCUGGUCUGAUACUGACGCUAAAGCGCGAAGGCUAGGGUAGCAAACA
rnacentral:rRNA from 1 species